rnacentral:rRNA from 1 species
UACGGAGGGUGCGAGCGUUGUCCGGAAUCAUUGGGCGUAAAGGGCGCGUAGGUGGCCUGCUAAGCGUGCGGUGAAAGCUCGGGGCUCAACCCCGAGUCGGCCGUGCGAACUGGUGGGCUUGAGCACUGUAGAGGCAGGCGGAAUUCCGGGUGUAGCGGUGGAAUGCGUAGAGAUCCGGAAGAACACCGGUGGCGAAGGCGGCCUGCUGGGCAGUAACUGACGCUGAGGAGCGAAAGCGUGGGGAGC